rnacentral:rRNA from 1 species
UACGGAGGGGGCGAGCGUUGUCCGGAAUCAUUGGGCGUAAAGCGCGUGUAGGCGGCCCGGUAAGUCCGCUGUGAAAGUCCAGGGCUCAACCCUGGGAUGCCGGUGGAUACUGUCGGGCUCGAGUCCGGAAGAGGCGAGUGGAAUUCCUGGUGUAGCGGUGAAAUGCGCGGAUAUCAGGAGGAACACCAAUGGCGAAGGCAGCUCGCUGGACGUGACUGACGCUGAGACGCGAAAGCGUGGGAGCAAACAGG